rnacentral:rRNA from 1 species
CCCGAUCGGACCCCGGACGUGAAGUCGACGAUGGUCGGUGGGCUGGUUUUGGUAAGCAGAACGGGCGAUUCGGGAUGAACCGGAAGCGGGGAGAAAGGGCCCGAGAUUGCGUCGACGCGGAUCCCCGAAAAGGGCGUCGAUCCGUCGCGACAGCGGGACGGUGGUCAUGGAAGUCGAAAUCCGCUAAGAAGCGUGUAAAAACGUCCCGCCCAACGGAUCGGCCCCGAAAAUUGAUGGCGCUCGAACGCAACCCUCGAACCCCGCCGACGGAGGCUAGGGGAGGCCCCGUCGAGUAGGCGGACGCGCGGGUCGCUUCGACGCUCCCGCGCGAGCGGGGGCGGAGCGGCCCGUGGUGCAGAUCUUGGUGGUAGUAGCGAUCACCCAGGCGAGAACCCUGAGGGCCGAAGUGGAGAAGGGUUUCUCGAGAACGGCACUCGCUCGAGAGUUAGUCGAUCCUAAGCUGCCGGCGGCAGCCACGAAACGGUCGAUCGGGCGCGAG